UAGAGUUUGAUCAUGGCUCAGGAUGAACGCUGGCGGCGUGCUUAACACAUGCAAGUCGAACGGAACUGUCAUUUUUGAAGCAAUUAGCUUGCUAAGGGUGGAAAUGUUGGCAGUUUAGUGGCGGACGGGUGAGUAACGCGUGGGUAACCUGCCUUACACAGGGGGAUAACACCUGGAAACAGGUGCUAAUACCGCAUAACAGGAAGAGGCGCAUGCCACUUUCUUGAAAACUCCGGUGGUGUAAGAUGGACCCGCGUCCGAUUAGCUAGUUGGCGGGGUAACGGCCCACCAAGGCGACGAUCAGUAGCCGGCCUGAGAGGGUGGACGGCCACAUUGGGACUGAGACACGGCCCAAACUCCUACGGGAGGCAGCAGUGGGGAAUAUUGCACAAUGGGGGAAACCCUGAUGCAGCGACGCCGCGUGAGUGAAGAAGUAUUUCGGUAUGUAAAGCUCUAUCAGCAGGGGAGAAAAUGACGGUACCUGAUUAAGAAGCCCCGGCUAACUACGUGCCAGCAGCCGCGGUAAUACGUAGGGGGCAAGCGUUAUCCGGAUUUACUGGGUGUAAAGGGAGCGUAGACGGCCAGACAAGUCUGAAGUGAAAAUCCAGCGCUUAACGUUGGGAGUGCUUUGGAAACUGCCGGGCUAGAGUGCAGGAGGGGCAGGCGGAAUUCCUAGUGUAGCGGUGAAAUGCGUAGAUAUUAGGAGGAACACCAGUGGCGAAGGCGGCCUGCUGGACUGCAACUGACGUUGAGGCUCGAAGGCGUGGGGAGCAAACAGGAUUAGAUACCCUGG
rnacentral:rRNA from 1 species